UGCGUAGACGGUUUGUUAAGUCGGAUGUGAAAGAUCAGGGCUCAACCCUGAGAGUGCAUCGGAAACUGGGCAUCUUGAGGACAGGAGAGGAAAGUGGAAUUCCUAGUGUAGCGGUGAAAUGCGUAGAUAUUAGGAGGAACACCAGUGGCGAAGGCGACUUUCUGGACUGUAACUGACGCUGAGGCGCGAAAGCGUGGGGAGCAAACAGGAUUAGAUACCCGCGUA
rnacentral:rRNA from 1 species